rnacentral:tRNA from 1 species
GGAUAUAGCUCAGUUGAUAGAGUACCUGCCUUGCAUGCAUAAGGCCCUGAGUUCAAUCCCCAGAACCA